UGCGCACACCCGGGUGGUUCUGGCUACGGGUACCCGGACCUGCCCAACGACCGUUCUCCAUUCCCGACCUCCGCACCCUACCCGGUCCGCAGGGCACCUUCCUCCUCUCUCUCAGGCACGUCCUCGACCUCAGUUGCCACGUGCACAUGCUGGUGCCUUCCAGGUCGGUCUUUCUCCACCAGACUCCACCUGGAACUUUCUUCCUUUUCGUCCUGUGCUGGCCUAACCCCUGCUCGGCCUCGGCCCUCAGCUGCCGGCUCUAACAAAGCCUCUGUCUUUCCCAGACCCCUGUGACCAGGCUGGAGUAUAGUGGCAUGAUCAUAGAUCACUGCAGCCUCAAACUCCUGGGCUCAAGCGAUCCUCCCACCUCAGCCUCCAUAUAGCUGGUGGGGACCAAGUUUCUAACACAUGAAUGUUGGGAGACACAUUCAGACCAUCGCAGUGGCCUUAUAAAAAGAGACACAAGAGCUUGCUCUCUGCCAUGUGAGAAUACCACAAGAAGACUGUCCUCAGCAAAUCAGAAAGCGGGUGGACCCUCAUCAGACACCAGAUGUGCCUGCACCUUGAUCUUGGACUUGCCAGCCUUCAGAACAGUAAGAAAGAAAUGUGUGUUGUUUAAGCCACCCAGUCUAUGGUAACUUGCUAUAGCAGCCCACUAGGAGACCCCAAGAUAUUUAAAAACUCAUCAGCACCUGCUUUCUGCAUCUGGACCCUGAUCUUCUGGUGGGUUUACCAGUUACUUGUAGAGUGUCCCUGUGAUAGUUUUAGGUGUCAACUUGACAGGAUUGAGGGAUGCCUAGAUGGCUGGGGAAGCACUGUUUCUGAGAAGGACCAUGUUUUUGGAGGAGACUGUUUUAUGAGUGAAUUUCAGGGGACACAUUCAGAUCAUGGCAGUGGCAUUAUAAAGAGAGACACAAAAGCUUGCUCUCUCUCUCUGCCAUGUAAGACUACCACACAAAGACUGCCAUCUGCAAACCAGAAGCAGGUGGGCUUUCCUCAGACACCAGAUCUGCCUGCACCUUGAUCUUGGACUUGCCAGCCUUCAGAACUCUAAGAAAGAAAUGGUAGCAUGGCUUGGUCUAAGUUGGAAGGCCUGAGAAACAAGCACAUGGUGGAACUGAGUUCAAGGAUAAAGACUUGAGAAUACCUGCUCAGUGGACUGAGUAGGGAAGAUCAACCCUCAAUGUAGGCAGGCACUAUCCAAUCACCUGAGGGCCCAGAUGGAACAAAAAGGUGGAAGAAGGGUGAAUUCUCUCUUCCAGAGCUGUGACACCCUUCUCAUGCCCUUGUACCACACAACUCUAGGUCCUUUGGCCUUUGGACUCUGACACUUGCACCAGUGGCCCUCUGGGGCUCUCAAGCCUUUAGCCUUGAACUUAGUUACACCAUGUGCCUCCUUGUUUCUCAGGCCUUCCAACUUGGAUCAGGCCAUGCCACCGGCUUCUCUGAUUCUCCAGCUUGCAGAUGGUAUAUUGUGACCCUGGCAUUUAAUAACUAUGACUUUGGUCUUAAGCAAUUUUCUUCCUCUGUGGAUUGAUAUUUACAUAUCAAUGUGGAUAAUAAUUUCUUACCACGGUAACUGUUGUGAGGUAAAAAUGAGUUAACAUAAGUAAAACCGAGCACAUGCAAACCAUCCGAAAUGGUUAAUACUUACUAUUUGUACUUGAAGAAAUAAAUGUUUUUGACAAUAAACUUCUUGUGCAGUUUUCCUCA
rnacentral:lncRNA from 1 species